UUGAACGCUGGCGGCAUGCUUUACACAUGCAAGUCGAACGGCAGCGGGGGCUUCGGCCUGCCGGCGAGUGGCGAACGGGUGAGUAAUGCAUCGGAACGUACCCAGUCGUGGGGGAUAACUCCGCGAAAGCGUUGCUAAUACCGCAUACGUCCUGAGGGAGAAAGCGGGGGAUCUUCGGACCUCGCGCGACUGGAGCGGCCGAUGUCGGAUUAGCUAGUAGGUGAGGUAAAGGCUCACCAAGGCGACGAUCCGUAGCGGGUCUGAGAGGAUGAUCAGCCACACUGGGACUGAGACACGGUCCAGACUCCUACGGGAGGCAGCAGUGGGGAAUUUUGGACAAUGGGCGCAACCCUGAUCCAGCCAUGCCGCGUGAGUGAAGAAGGCCUUCGGGUUGUAAAGCUCUUUCGGCAGGGAAGAAAUCGUGGUCUCUAACAUAGGCCAUGGAUGACGGUACCGGACGAAGAAGCACCGGCUAACUACGU
rnacentral:rRNA from 1 species